GGGUUGAUAGGCCUGAACUUGUUAACCACAACACCUUCAUCAUUUUUCUUGGAUUCCUUUACAACUUUGGCAGGAGCUUCAGUUGUAACCUGGGCCCUGACAGAAACCACUCUCCCCCCACUGCAAACAUCUCUGUAGUAAACAGGCACCUGGAAAACAAAACAAAAAAAGCAGCUGAUGAACAUCAACUUUCAGUAUUACCAUAUCAUCACAAGCAUGGCAAAUAUAUACCUUCUUGAAGGUGAUCCUAUCAGGAGAGGCAAUAGAGGUUCUAGCAGGGAGAGAGGUGGACUUGGUAGAAGGAAAAGAGACUGCAGCAGUAACAGCAGCCAUGUCUUUUCUUUUCUUUUUUUAUAACGAAGAAAUAAGGAGGAGGAGAAAAUGUUAUAUCUGAUGGGGGUGGUUG
rnacentral:lncRNA from 1 species